CUAGGAAACCAGGAAUGACAAGAGAUGAUUUGUUCAACAUAAACGCCGGAAUAGUGAAGACCCUUUGUGAAGGGAUUGCCAAGUGCUGCCCUCAAGCAAUUGUCAACAUUAUUAGUAAUCCCGUUAACUCUACUGUUCCAAUUGCAGCAGAAGUUUUCAAGAAAGCUGGCACCUUUGACCCAAAUCGAGUUUUAGGAGUCACAAUGCUUGAUGUUGUCAGAGCUAAUACUUUUGUGGCAGAAGUUUUGGGCCUUGAUCCUAGAGAGACUGAUGUUCCUGUUGUUGGGGGUCAUGCAGGGGUUACUAUUUUACCUCUUCUAUCACAGGUUAAACCUCCAUGCUCAUUCACGCAAAAAGAAAUUGAUUACUUGACAGAUCGUAUUCAAAAUGGAGGAACAGAAGUUGUAGAGGCUAAAGCCGGUUCAGGUUCUGCAACGCUAUCUAUGGCAUAUGCAGCUGUUAAAUUUGCAGAUGCAUGCCUUCGGGGCUUGAGGGGAGAUGCUAGUGUUGUCCAAUGCGCGUACGUGGCUUCUGCCGUAACCGAACUUCCUUUCUUUGCAACCAAAGUUCGACUUGGCCGUGCUGGGGUUGAAGAAAUUUAUCCGCUUGGCCCCCUCAACGAGUAUGAAAGGGCUGGCUUGGAGAAAGCGAAGAAAGAGUUGGCAGCAAGCAUUCAGAAGGGGGUUUCUUUUAUCAGGAAAUGAUCGAGUUUAUGCCAACAAGGCUUUAAUGGGAGUAUCUGCCCUAUAGUUUCUUUAUUGUAUUACAACAAGUUCUGGGUUCCCUGAAAUAAAAGUGCUAGUGUCUUGUUUUAGAUGACAGUAAAAAGCACGCAAGUGUUUGACGAGACUCUGGUGGGGGUAUCUUCGACGGGGCUGUUAUGAUAAUUAUGUAAUAAAUAGAUAAAUGCCAAGGCUAGGAAUAAUCCUGUUUUUGUUCAUAUUUU
rnacentral:misc_RNA from 1 species